UACGAGGGGGGCAAGCGUUGUUCGGAAUUAUUGGGCGUAAAGGGCGCGUAGGCGGUGCGGUAAGUCACCUGUGAAAACUCUGGGCUCAACUCAGAGCCUGCAGGCGAAACUGCCGUGCUUGAGUGUGGGAGAGGUGCGUGGAAUUCCCGGUGUAGCGGUGAAAUGCGUAGAUAUCUGGAGGAAUACCGGUGGCGAAGGCGGCAUCCUGGACCGGCAUUGACGCUGAGGAGCGAAAGCUAGGGGAGCAAACGGG
rnacentral:rRNA from 1 species